UGCCAGCCGCCGCGGUAAUACGGAGGUUGCAAGCGUUGUUCGGAAUUACUGGGCGUAAAGGGAGCGCAGGCGGUUUGAUCAGUCUAAAGUGAAGGCCCGGGGCUUAACCCCGGAAGGCCUUUGGAUACUGUCAAACUAGAGUACGGGAGAGGAGAGUGGAAUUCCUGGUGUAGCGGUGAAAUGCGUAGAUAUCAGGAGGAACACCUAUGGCGAAAGCAACUCUCUGGCCCGAAACUGACGCUGAGGCUCGAAAGCGUGGGGAGCAAACAGGAUUAGAUA
rnacentral:rRNA from 1 species